UACGGAGGGUGCGAGCGUUGUCCGGAAUCACUGGGCGUAGAGGGCGCGUAGGCGGCCUGAUAAGUAGGGGGUGAAAUCCUGCGGCUUAACCGCAGGGCUGCCUUCUAAACUGUCAGGCUAGAGCACAGUAGAGGCAGGUGGAAUUCCCGGUGUAGCGGUGGAAUGCGUAGAGAUCGGGAAGAACAUCAGUGGCGAAGGCGGCCUGCUGGGCUGUUGCUGACGCUGAGGCGCGACAGCGUGGGGAGCAAACAGG
rnacentral:rRNA from 1 species